AGUGAACGCUGGCGGUAGGCCUAACACAUGCAAGUCGAACGGCAGCACAGUAAGAGCCUGCUCUUACGGGUGGCGAGUGGCGGACGGGUGAGGAAUAUAUCGGAAUCUACUUUUUCGUGGGGGAUAACGUAGGGAAACUUACGCUAAUACCGCAUACGACCUACGGGUGAAAGCAGGGGAUCUUCGGACCUUGCGCGAUUGAAUGAGCCGAUGUCGGAUUAGCUAGUUGGCGGGGUAAAGGCCCACCAAGGCGACGAUCCGUAGCUGGUCUGAGAGGAUGAUCAGCCACACUGGAGCUGAGACACGGUCCAGACUCCUACGGGAGGCAGCAGUGGGGAAUAUUGGACAAUGGGCGCAAGCCUGAUCCAGCCAUACCGCGUGGGUGAAGAAGGCCUUCGGGUUGUAAAGCCCUUUUGUUGGGAAAGAAAAGCAGCAGGUUAAUACCCCGCUGUUCUGACGGUACCCAAAGAAUAAGCACCGGCUAACUUCGUG
rnacentral:rRNA from 1 species